rnacentral:rRNA from 1 species
UACAGAGGGGGCGAGCGUUGUUCGGAAUUACUGGGCGUAAAGGGCGCGUAGGCGGCCCGCUAAGUCGAACGUGAAAUCCCCAGGCUUAACCUGGGAACUGCGUCCGAUACUGGCAGGCUUGAAUCCGGGAGAGGGAUGUGGAAUUCCAGGUGUAGCGGUGAAAUGCGUAGAUAUGUGGAGGAACACCGAUGGCGAAGGCAGCCCCCUGGGUCAAAACUGACGCUCAUGCACGAAAGCGUGGGGAGCAAACAGG